rnacentral:rRNA from 1 species
AUUGAACGCUGGCGGCAGGCCUAACACAUGCAAGUCGAGCGGGGUUUUCGGACCUAGCGGCGGACGGGUGAGUAAUGCGUAGGAAGCUACCCGAUAGAGGGGGAUACCAGUUGGAAACGACUGUUAAUACCGCAUAAUGUCUACGGACCAAAGUGUGGGACCUUCGGGCCACAUGCUAUCGGAUGUGCCUACGUGGGAUUAGCUAGUUGGUGAGGUAAUGGCUCACCAAGGCGACGAUCCCUAGCUGGUUUGAGAGGAUGAUCAGUCACACUGGAACUGAGACACGGUCCAGACUCCUACGGGAGGCAGCAGUGGGGAAUAUUGGACAAUGGGCGCAAGCCUGAUUCAGCCAUGCCGCGUGUGUGAAGAAGGCCUUCGGGUUGUAAAGCACUUUCAGUAAGGAGGAAGCGUUGAGUGUUAAUAGUACUCAGCGUUGACGUUACUUACAGAAGAAGCACCGGCUAACUCUGUGCCAGCCGCCGCGGUAAAAC